rnacentral:rRNA from 1 species
AUACGUAGGGGGCAAGCGUUAUCCGGAUUUACUGGGUGUAAAGGGAGCGUAGACGGUGUGACAAGUCUGAUGUGAAAACCCGGGGCUCAACUCCGGGAUUGCAUUGGAAACUGCCAUACUUGAGUGCAGGAGAGGUAAGCGGAAUUCCUAGUGUAGCGGUGAAAUGCGUAGAUAUUAGGAGGAACACCGGCGGCGAAGGCGGCUUACUGGACUGUAACGGACGUUGAGGCUCGAAAGCGUGGGGAGCAAACAGGAUUAGAUACCCUGGUAGUCCACGCGGUAAACGAUGAAUACUAGGUGUUGGGGGUCUAUAGACCCUCGGUGCCGCAGCAAACGCAAUAAGUAUUCCACCUGGGGAGUACGUUCGCAAGAAUGAAACUCAAAGGAAUUGGCGGGG